CCCUUAGAUGUUCUGGGCCGCACGCGCGCUACACUGAUGCAUUCAACGAGUCUAAAACCUGCUCUGAUAGGGGUGGGUAAUCUUUUGAAUGUGCAUCGCGAUUGGGAUAGAUGAUUGAAAUUUUUCAUCUUCAACGAGGAAUGCCUAGUAAACGCAAGUCAUCAGCUUGCAUUGAUUACGUCCCUGCCCUUUGUACACACCGCCCGUCGCUCCUACCGAUUGAAUGAUCCGAUGAAUAUCAUGGAUUGAGGAUGCAAGUAGGUUCACCUAUCUUCAUCUUCGAGAAGUGAAGUAAAUCUUAUCAUUUAGAGGAAGGAGAAGUCGUAACA
rnacentral:rRNA from 1 species